rnacentral:tRNA from 3 species
AGAGUCUUAGGAUAACAAAAGUCCAAAAACCUUCAAAGUCUUUAGCGAGAGUGAAAAUCUCUCAGAUUCUG